UACAGAGGUCUCAAGCGUUGUUCGGAUUCAUUGGGCGUAAAGGGUGCGUAGGCGGCGCGGUAAGUCGGGUGUGAAAUCUCGGGGCUUAACUCCGAAACUGCAUUCGAUACUACCGUGCUUGAGGACUGGAGAGGAGACUGGAAUUUACGGUGUAGCGGUGAAAUGCGUAGAGAUCAUGAGGAAGACCAGUGGCGAAGGCGGGUCUCUGGACAGUUCCUGACACUGAGACACGAAGGCCAGGGGAGCGAACGGG
rnacentral:rRNA from 1 species